rnacentral:rRNA from 1 species
UUGGCCCUACGGGGCGCAGCAGUCGGGAAUAUUGCGCAAUGGAGGAAACUCUGACGCAGUGACGCCGCGUGCAGGAAGAAGGUUUUCGGAUUGUAAACUGCUUUAGACAGGGAAGAAAAAAGACAGUACCUGUAGAAUAAGCUCCGGCUAACUACGUGCCAGCAGCCGCGGUAAUACGUAGGGAGCAAGCGUUAUCCGGAUUUAUUGGGUGUAAAGGGUGCGUAGACGGAGAAGCAAGUUAGUUGUGAAAUCCCUCGGCUUAACCGAGGAACUGCAACUAAAACUACUUCCAUUGAGUGCUGGAG